rnacentral:rRNA from 1 species
UACGUAGGGUGCAAGCGUUGUCCGGAAUUAUUGGGCGUAAAGAGCUCGUAGGCGGUGUGUCGCGUCGGCCGUGAAAACCUGCAGCUUAACUGUGGGCUUGCGGUCGAUACGGGCAUCACUGGAGUUCGGCAGGGGAGACUGGAAUUCCUGGUGUAGCGGUGAAAUGCGCAGAUAUCAGGAGGAACACCGGUGGCGAAGGCGGCUUGCUGGGCCAGUUCUGACGCUGAGGAGCGAAAGCGUGGGGAGCGAACAGG